ACAGAGGGUGCAAGCGUUAAUCGGAAUUACUGGGCGUAAAGCGUGCGCAGACGGUUGCGUAAGUCAGAUGUGAAAUCCCCGGGCUCAACCUGGGAAUGGCAGUGGAUACUGGAAAGCUGGAGUGCGGUAGAGGGUAGUGGAAUUCCCGGUGUAGCAGUGAAAUGCGUAGAGAUCGGGAGGAACACCAGUGGCGAAGGCGGCUAUCUGGACCAGCACUGACACUGAGGCACGAAAGCGUGGGGAGCAAACAGGA
rnacentral:rRNA from 1 species